rnacentral:rRNA from 1 species
ACGAACGCUGGCGGCGUGCUUAACACAUGCAAGUCGAACGGAAAGGCCCUGCUUUUGUGGGGUGCUCGAGUGGCGAACGGGUGAGUAACACGUGAGUAACCUGCCCUUGACUUUGGGAUAACUUCAGGUAACUGGGGCUAAUACCGGAUAGGAGCUCCUGCUGCAUGGUGGGGGUUGGAAAGUUUCGGCGGUUGGGGAUGGACUCGCGGCUUAUCAGCUUGUUGGUGGGGUAGUGGCUUACCAAGGCUUUGACGGGUAGCCGGCCUGAGAGGGUGACCGGCCACAUUGGGACUGAGAUACGGCCCAGACUCCUACGGGAGGCAGCAGUGGGGAAUAUUGCACAAUGGGCGGAAGCCUGAUGCAGCAACGCCGCGUGCGGGAUGACGGCCUUCGGGUUGUAAACCGCUUUCGCCUGUGACGAAGCGUGAGUGACGGUAAUGGGUAAAGAAGCACCGGCUAACUACGUG